rnacentral:tRNA from 1 species
UACUCUGUAGCUAAGUUGGUUAAAGCGCUGCACCGGAAUCGCAGAGCCGCCGGUUCGAUUCCUGCCAGAGGGC